GCAUCGAUGGCCGAGUGGUUAAGGCGGUAGAUUUAAGUUCUAUAACUUGAGAUCCCUACUGGAGUGAUCCGCAGGAGUUCGAACCUCCUUCGAUGCA